UUCUNGGAUUAUUGAAGACUAACUACUGCGAAAGCAUUUGCCAAGGGAUGUUUUCCCCNCUUUAAGAACGAAAGUUAGGGGAUCGAAGACGAUCAGAUACCCUUUAUANUCUUAACCAUAAACUAUGCCGACUAGGGAUCGGAUGAUGUUAAUUUUUUAAUGACUCA
rnacentral:rRNA from 1 species